CAUAGAUACAUAUGUUGAUGAUGGGAUGGGAUUUAUUGGUCCAAUUAUUGAUCCUUAAACAUUUUUCCACUAGAUUCUUGUUAAGGAUCAAUAAUUGGACCAAUAAAUCCCAUCCCAUCAUCAACAUAUGUA
rnacentral:pre_miRNA from 1 species